AAAGCCACGGCUAACUACGUGCCAGCAGCCGCGGUAAUACGUAGGUGGCAAGCGUUGUCCGGAUUUAUUGGGCGUAAAGCGAGCGCAGGCGGUUUUUUAAGUCUGAUGUGAAAGCCUUCGGCUCAACCGAAGAAGUGCAUCGGAAACUGGGAAACUUGAGUGCAGAAGAGGACAGUGGAACUCCAUGUGUAGCGGUGAAAUGCGUAGAUAUAUGGAAGAACACCAGUGGCGAAGGCGGCUGUCUGGUCUGUAACUGACGCUGAGGCUCGAAAGUAUGGGUAGCAAACAGGAUUAGAUACCCUGGUAGUCCAUACCGUAAACGAUGAAUGCUAAGUGUUGGAGGGUUUCCGCCCUUCAGUGCUGCAGCUAACGCAUUAAGCAUUCCGCCUGGGGAGUACGGCCGCAAGGCUGAAACUCAAAGGAAUUGACGGGGGCCCGCACAAGCGGUGGAGCAUGUGGUUUAAUUCGAAGCUACGCGAAGAACCUUACCAGGUCUUGACAUACUAUGCAAAUCUAAGAGAUUAGACGUUCCCUUCGGGGACAUGGAUACAGGUGGUGCAUGGUUGUCGUCAGCUCGUGUCGUGAGAUGUUGGGUUAAGUCCCGCAACGAGCGCAACCCUUAUUAUCAGUUGCCAGCAUUAAGUUGGGCACUCUGGUGAGACUGCCGGUGACAAACCGGAGGAAGGUGGGGAUGACGUCAAAUCAUCAUGCCCCUUAUGACCUGGGCUACACACGUGCUACAAUGGAUGGUACAACGAGUUGCGAACUCGCGAGAGUAAGCUAAUCUCUUAAAGCCAUUCUCAGUUCGGAUUGUAGGCUGCAACUCGCCUACAUGAAGUCGGAAUCGCUAGUAAUCGCGGAUCAGCAUGCCGCGGUGAAUACGUUCCCGGGCCUUGUACACACCGCCCGUCACACCAUGAGAGUUUGUAACACCCAAAGUCGGUGGGGUAACCUUUAGGAACCAGCCG
rnacentral:rRNA from 1 species